GGAAUAUCGAUGUUUUACCAAGAUUACAGAUGGGCCUCUAUAAGGAGAAGUCUCCUGAUUAUCUUAUGUUGAUGGUGUUAAGGUCGAUGUCAGUGGGCAUGGUCAAAAAUAUUAAAAAUAUUUUAAGACAGAAAAGGAAACUCCUUCAAGGCUACAGAAGGUUUCCAUGUGAUUAAAGCUCUAGUUUCUAAAUCCUACUAGACAAUGGGCUGUAUGGAAACAGUCACAGUAAAAACCUCUCUGAAGAAGGCUCACUGCAGAGGUUUGAGAAGACACUGCAACAUCAGGGGUGUUUUUCUUGGAACUGUCACUGUGGAACCGGGCCCUGGGCAAUGAAGACAAAUGCCCUGGAAGUGAGUGGUCCCUGCAGAGAUGGGAUCGAGCGUCAGUUUCUUUCUGCAUCGGUGAUCACUCUGCGCUGGGAGUUACAAGGGUCUGGGAAUUUCAGCUGGGUCUGAGUACUGAGGGGAGCAAGGAGGGUGAGCAAGGUGAGCAGGACACACCGUGGGGCCCCCUUGGAAUGGCAGCGCAGUGGGAGCCAACACCAGGUCCAAGCUUGGAGACCACUCUUUUAGGAAGUUCUCAUCAGGAAGAGAAACCUACAAAGCAGUAAGUACCUUUGAUUUUACUUUGCGAUGUUUCUGUAGAUC
rnacentral:lncRNA from 1 species